UGUGUGUGUGUGUGUCUGUGUGUAUGACUGUCUGCCUGUGUGUGUCGUGUGUAUGACUGUCAUACACACAGUCAUACAUACACACA